AUUGAACGCUGGCGGCAGGCUUAACACAUGCAAGUCGAGCGGGGGAGGUUGCUUCGGUAACUGACCUAGCGGCGGACGGGUGAGUAAUACUUAGGAAUCUGCCUAUUAAUGGGGGACAACAUCUCGAAAGGGAUGCUAAUACCGCAUACGCCCUACGGGGGAAAGCAGGGGAUCACUUGUGACCUUGCGUUAAUAGAUGAGCCUAAGUCGGAUUAGCUAGUUGGUGGGGUAAAGGCCUACCAAGGCGACGAUCUGUAGCGGGUCUGAGAGGAUGAUCCGCCACACUGGGACUGAGACACGGCCCAGACUCCUACGGGAGGCAGCAGUGGGGAAUUGUUCGCAAUGGGCGCAAGCCUGACGACGCAACGCCGCGUGGAGGAUGAAGAUCUUCGGGUCGUAAACUCCUGUCGAGCGGGAAGAAUACUUACCUGGUCAACACCCGGGUAGGCUGACGGUACCGCUAAAGGAAGCCCCGGCUAACUUCGUGCCAGCCGCCGCAGUAAAAC
rnacentral:rRNA from 1 species